AGCAAAGAAAGACGCGAUGUCUGGGGAGUACCCAGGCCGCAAGCCGGAGCUCAGGCUUCAACAAUUAGGAGAGUGUGACGUGCCUGGGAAAGGCAGGAGCGCCAGCGGUCCGGCUGCUCUAGUGAGGGGAGUCCGAGGUGGCGACAAGGGGCGAACAACCCGACGCAAGAUGGCGAGUAAAGAGAUGUUUGAAGAUACUGUGGAGGAGCGUGUCAUCAAUGAAGAAUAUAAAAUCUGGAAGAAUACACCAUUUCUGUAUGACCCGGUUAUGACCCAUGCUCUUCAGUGGCCCAGUCUUACCGUUCAGUGGCUUCCUGAAGUGACUAAACCUGAAGAGAAGGAUUAGGCCCUUCAUUGGUGCUGGGGACUCAUACGUCUGAUGAGCAGACUCAUCCGUUGGUUGCUCAAGUACAUAUUCCCAAUGAUGAUGCACAGUUUGAUGCUUCCCAUUGUGACAGUGACAGGGGUGAAUUUGGUGGCUUUGGCUCUAUAACAGGAAAAAUUGAAUGUGAAAUUAAAAUUAAUCAUGAAGGAGAAGUAAACCGUGCUCGGUACAUGCCGCAGAAUCCUCACAUCAUUGCUACAAAAACACCAUCUUCUGCUGUGUUGGGUUUUGACUAUACAAAACAUCCCGCUAAACCAGACCCAAGUGGAGAAUGUAAUCCUGAUCUUGGGUUAAGAGGUCACCAGAAGGAAGGCUAUGGUCUUUCCUGGGAUUCUAAUUUGAGUGGACAUCUCCUAAGUGCAUCUGACGACCAUACGGUCUGUCUGUGGGAUAUAAAUGCAGGACCAAAGGAAGGCAAAAUUGUGGAUGCCAAGGCGAUCUUUACUGGCCACUCAGCUGUUGUGGAGGAUGUGGCCUGGCAUCUGCUGCACAAGUCAUUGUUUGGAUCUGUUGCUGAUGAUCAGAAACUUAUGAUGUGGGACACCAGGUCCAAUACCACCUCCAAACCAAGCCAUUUGGUGGAUGCCCACACUGCUGAGGUCAACUGCCUCUCAUUCAAUCCCUCCAGCGAGUUCAUUCUAGCAACCGGCUCUGCGGAUAAGACCGUAGCUUUAUGGGAUCUGCGUAACUUAAAAUUAAAACUCCAUACCUUUGAAUCACAUAAAGACGAAAUUUUUCAGGUCCACUGGUCUCCACAUAAGGAAACUAUUCUGGCUUCCAGUGGUACUGAUCGCCGCCUGAAUGUGUGGGAUUUAAGUAAAAUUGGAGAAGAACAGUCAGCAGAAGAUGCAAAAGAUGGGCCUCCUGAACUCCUGUUCAUUCAUGGAGGACACACUGCCAAGAUUUCAGAUUUUUUUAGUUGGAACCCCAAUGAGCCUUGGGUCAUUUGCUCAGUGUCUGAGGAUAACAUCAUGCAGAUAUGGCAAAUGGCUGAAAAUAUUUACAAUGAUGAAGAGUCAGAUGUCACACCAUCGGAACUGGAGGGACAAGGAUCUUAAACCCAAAGUACAAAAGGUGUUUCUGUUGAAUGUAAUGCUACAUGAAUGCUUGAUUUCUCGAGCGCCAAAAAGGCAUUGUAUAGUAGGCAAUGUUAAGUGGGAUGGCUUACAGCGUUCUUUACUCUCUGAUUCUAGCACUUUCAAACGAGCUGUUGCGUACUGUAUCAUAUUGUAGUUAGUAGGGG